rnacentral:rRNA from 1 species
GCUAAACAGCUAGCUUAAUCACCAAUAUAAUUCAACAAUGUUCAUAACAAGACAUAACCCCGCACCAAAAACUAAACCAUUUUUUUACCUGAGUAUGGGAGACAGAAAAGGUUCUACCCCAAAGCAAUAGAAAAAGUACCGCAAGGGAAAGCUGAAAGAGAAAUGAAAUAACCCAUAUAAGCACUAAAAAACAAAGACUAAACCUUGUACCUUUUGCAUCAUGAUUUAGCCAGUACCCUCAAGCAAAGAGUCCUUUAGUUUGACACCCCGAAACCAGGUGAGCUACCCCGAGACAGCCUAUAUAAUUUAGGGCUAACCCGUCUCUGUGGCAAAAGAGUGGGAAGAGCUCCGGGUAGAAGUGACAGACCUACCGAACCUGGUGAUAGCUGGUUGCCUAAGAAAUGGAUAGAAGUUCAGCCCCGCACGCCCCAAACCAAAAAUUUCCUACCUUAAGGUAUUUUAAGGGUAAUAUGCGGGAGUUAGUCAGAGGGGGUACAGCCCCUCUAACAAAGGAUACAACCUUCACAGGAGGAUAAAGAUCACAAUAUACAAAACCUACCGUUCUAGUGGGCCUAAAAGCAGCCAUCUAAGCAGAAAGCGUUAAAGCUCAGACAGAAAAAAGUUUAUUAUACCGAUAAAUAAUCUUACUCCCCUAACUAUAUUAGGCUAACCCAUGCCCACAUGGAAGAAAUUAUGCUAAAAUGAGUAACAAGAAGACCUGUUCUUCUCCUAACACAAGUGUAAGCCAGAUCGGACAAGCCGCUGGAAAUUAACGAACCCAACCAAAGAGAGUGAUGUGGACAAUAGAAAAACCAAGAAAACCCCACAACUGAACAUCGUUAACCCCACACUGGAGUGUUAUUUAAAAGGAAAGACUAAAAGAAAGGGAAGGAACUCGGCAAACACAAGCCUCGCCUGUUUACCAAAAACAUCGCCUCCUGCAACUAAACCAAGUAUAGGAGGUCCAGCCUGCCCAGUGACUACGGGUUCAACGGCCGCGGUAUUUUGACCGUGCAAAGGUAGCGCAAUCACUUGUCUUUUAAAUAGAGACCUGUAUGAAUGGCUAAACGAGGGCUUAGCUGUCUCCCCCUUCCAGUCAGUGAAAUUGAUCUAUCCGUGCAGAAGCGGGUAUAAAUAUACAAGACGAGAAGACCCUUUGGAGCUUAAGGUACAAAACUUAACCACGUAAAACGACUCAAUAAAAAGCAAGAACUUAGUGGAAAGUAAGAAUUUACCUUCGGUUGGGGCGACCACGGAGGAAAAACCAGCCUCCGCGUGGAACGGGCCAAACCCCUAAAGCCAAGAGAAACAUCUCCAAGCCACAGAACAUCUGACCAUAAAUGAUCCGGCUAUGCAGCCGAUCAACGAACCAAGUUACCCUAGGGAUAACAGCGCAAUCCUCUCCCAGAGUCCAUAUCGACGAGGGGGUUUACGACCUCGAUGUUGGAUCAGGACAUCCUAAUGGUGCAGCCGCUAUUAAGGGUUCGUUUGUUCAACGAUUAAAGUCCUACGUGAUCUGAGUUCAGACCGGAGCAAUCCAGGUCAGUUUCUAUCUGUAAUGCUACUUUUCCUAGUACGAAAGGAUCGGAAAAGGGGGGCCCAUACUUGAAGCACGCCCCACCCCUAAUUAAUGAAAACAAAUAAAUUAAAUAAAGGGAGGGCUAAAACCCCUGCCAGCCAAAAUAAGGACAU